GACGAACGCUGGCGGCGUGCUUAACACAUGCAAGUCGAACGGAAAGGCCCUGCUUUUGUGGGGUGCUCGAGUGGCGAACGGGUGAGUAACACGUGAGUAACCUGCCCUUGACUUUGGGAUAACUUCAGGAAACUGGGGCUAAUACCGGAUAGGAGCUCCUGCUGCAUGGUGGGGGUUGGAAAGUUUCGGCGGUUGGGGAUGGACUCGCGGCUUAUCAGCUUGUUGGUGGGGUAGUGGCUUACCAAGGCUUUGACGGGUAGCCGGCCUGAGAGGGUGACCGGCCACAUUGGGACUGAGAUACGGCCCAGACUCCUACGGGAGGCAGCAGUGGGGAAUAUUGCACAAUGGGCGGAAGCCUGAUGCAGCAACGCCGCGUGCGGGAUGACGGCCUUCGGGUUGUAAACCGCUUUCGCCUGUGGCGAAGCGUGAGUGACGGUAAUGGGUAAAGAAGCACCGGCUAACUACGUA
rnacentral:rRNA from 1 species